UCGCCAUGCGCGGCAUGCAAGCUUCUUAGAAGGAGAUGCGCAAAGGAUUGUGUGUUUGCUCCUUAUUUCCCUGCAGAUGAACCCCAGAAGUUUGGCAGUGUGCACAGGGUUUUUGGAGCUAGCAAUGUGAACAAAAUGUUACAGGUUCAAUUCUCAUGCACCUCUUUGUCUCCCUUUCAUUUAUAUACCUUUAUUCAAUCACUUUCAUGUUUGUAGAAUACUCUUUGGCUUUUGUCUAAUCAUAAUAAGGUUAAAUAACCUCAUACCAAGAUGCACUGAUAGUGUUUAGGAUAUGUGAAUUGGAAAUUGCACUAAUUUGUACAUGAAUUUUUGUAAAGAAUGUUAUUGGUGCACCUAUAAUUGAGUUAUAACCCUAAAAAGUAAGUUAAACAACUCUCUAAAUGUAAUCAUUAUAAAUAGAUCACUGAAUAAGUUAUAGGUAGUGUGCCAAGACACAACCUAUGUGUGCUGUAUUAUAUUGUAUCUUUCAGGACCUAGUCAACUUUGUUUAGAACUUCUGUUAAAUACAUCAAAUGUUAUGAAGACAUGUAUACAUAAAUAGUAUAUAAUUGGACAAUUAUAUGUAAGGGAGAAUCAUUAUAUUUUUAUUGAAAAUGUUGGGAGAAAAAGAAGUUUGCUAAUUUCUUUCACACUGUAUUCUGAAUCUGUUUUAUUUGUUGAGCUUAAGAGUCAUGAACAAACUAUUGCAGACAUAUUUUUGUGCAACUGCUAUUUGAGUAUAAAGUGCAAAAUUACAGAUAAUGAACAAACUCAGCUAAUUUGUGCUGAAAACUUUUAGCUGUAUCUGGAAACUUUAAAAAAUAGGAUAUCUAUGUGUAUAGAGAAAAUUAGUUACCUGCAUGUGCUUCUACUUUCAUUAGCCGUAGAGGUACUGGUAAUUAAGAACAUCUGAUUUGGCAGAUUUUGAGUCAACUAUCAUAGGAUAUUACUCUAUUUUCAAAUUAAAAGCAGUUAAUUGUUAAAUCAUAUAACACUAUUUUUCAAAGUGUAAAGGCUGUAGAUUUCUUUUGUUUUCUCCCAUAUAUACUUCAGUUAUAGUUGUUAUUUACAGUUGAUGCUGGCCCCACAGUCCCCACUUUUAAUGAACUGUGUUUGAUUUCUCAUUCUUCUCUGUUAAAGCAAGGUACUAGACUACUAGUAAUACACCAGAUGAUUCCUUAGCACAUAUAAAGAGGACCAAGGAUCAGGUGUAUAUAAAUUAGCUUUACUGCUCAGUGUGUGAAGUGGAUAAAGUAAAAUGAUGUUAGCUGCAUCAUUACUGGUGGUUAUAUGCAUCCCAACUUGUUCAACAUCUUCUCUUUAUGACCACUGCUUCUUGGCUUUGAUAGUCUCUUGGGUAUGAUAUUUCAGGAUAAAAGAAAGUUUUGGCAUGCUCACUUUUUCCUUUUGUCUUGAAAAUUAGGGUUAUACUGAUAGAGACCCCUUGUUAAUAUGUCCAAAAGUGAUGUUGAUUUCCCCGAUAAAUUAGUUUUAUAUAAAAAUAAAACAUGGUAAGCAUGACACAUAUAUGAUGACAUAUUUUGAUUCUUUAUCUUUUUAUAUUUAUACAUGAUAAUUAGAUACCAGCAUGGACAAGAAUGUGUUGUCAAGAAUAAUGUUUGGAUUUCAGCUAUGUGUUGUCAAUAGAGAUUUUAGUACCAAUGGAUGGUUGGUUCAAGUGGUACAUGCUUAAUUCCACUUAAGUAAGGUAUUGUAUUCAAAUCUUGUGGAUAGAAAAAACUCCAAUUGGGAGACUUAGUCGCACGUGAUGUAUAUGUUUCCGGCUCAAACAAAAUUGCCUUCCCUCUUUAACUUAUGAAUUGUAUUUUUCUUGGUGCAAGGUAGACGGGCAAUAUUUGAUUUUUGAAAAACAAAUUUACACAAUAGCUUCUAGUCAGAUAUUUACUAUUUUCUGUUUCCCUUCCAAAAUAACCUACUCAAGCAUGUCCCUUUUUCUUUUUUGUCAACUUGAGCAUGCAUGCACCUUAUCAUCUCCUUUUUGACUAAGCAUAGGGUCUGUUAGUAUAUAAAUAUAACCUCCUGGCCCCGUUUUACAUCACAGCCGUCAUCUUGGCCAGCAAUCUAAUUGAGAAGUUUUUCCUUACACAUUUAAACAACCAGCAUAAUAAAAUACUAAUAUAACUUAUUUUAAUGAACUGACCUCAACAUGAGCAAGCAAUUAUUACCCUAAAGUAACUAUCAAGAUAUUAAUUGUGGAUUUUAAUAUCUAAAGGUAGAAAUAGGUUAAAUUGUUCUUAAGGAUCUAUUUUUUUUUUCGUUCCAUCAGAAAAUUACAAGAAGGAAAAAAGACUAAGGGAUGCCUAGUGCAUCCUUCAACAGAAUGGUUUCCAGUUCAUGGGGGGAACCACAUGGAACUGUCUCCCAGGCAGCAAGCAAGAAGCUCCAAGUUUAGCUAGGUAGUCAGCAGCACCAUUCGAGUUCCGAGGGAUUUUCUCCAAGCGAAUGUCCCAACUUCGACCCAGCAUAUUCCGAAUAUUUUCCAGUAGACACAAAUUGCAGACUUUGAGCAUCUUCUAGUGAGCUAAUAAGCUCAGCACAAUCAACCUCUACUACAACUUUUCGGUAGCCUCGCGCCCAUGCUACUUCAAGUCCUGCCAGUAAACCAUGAACCUCAGCCAUAAACGCGUUCCCAUCCGAGGCCCCCUUUGAAACACCACAGAUCCAAGUCGCUUGUUCAUCUCUGAGAAUCGCUCCCCAUCCCAUGGUGUUCCCCUUAUAACUACCAUAUGUAUUAACUUUUAUAUAACCUGGUUUUGGUGCUUUCCAAACCUCUGCCAUGCCAAACUGGUUGACUAUGGAAUCACCAUUAGAGCCAAUAUGAAUAAAUGCAUCAUGCUCACAGCAAAUUCUACGCCAUACCUCGCCAAGGUUCCAGGGAUGCGUUUCAAAGAUCAUGUUGUUGCGCCACUUCCAAAUGCCUCAUAAGCCAACUAUGAAUCUUAUGCCAUUUGCACCACGCGCAUGCAUUCAAAUCCAAUCAUGCAGAGCCAGCGUCUGAAACUGAGGCCAAGAGUACACUCCCAGGCGGAGCCAGAUCUCGCGGGAGUGAGGACACUCUCUAAGACAAUGAAUCCCGUCCUCUACCACUGCUGAACAUCUCGAACAAGAAGGAGUCACCGCCAGCUUGCAAGAGAACCGCUUUUCAUUUGUUUGGAGACCAUUAUGAAGGAUGCGCCAGAGGAAUACCCGCACUUGCUCUGGAAUUUUUAACUUCCACAACCAGUUCCACUCGACUUGGCUUCUAGUAGGUCUGUUUUGCUCGAGCAGCCAGGCAUAAGCAUCGCUAACCUUAUACAUCCCUUUACUGUUAUUUUCCCAAAUCCAAGUAUCCCUCUGGUUUGGCACCACUUGAGGUUUAGUAUCGGAAAACAGAUCCCGAACUUCCAGCGACAUAGGAGUGCUAAGACGCUGCAAAGCCCAGUUACUAUCUUGGAUCAAGUCACACAAUUUCAAAUGAGAAUCCGAUAUAUGAACAUACGGGACCUUCAGCGCAAGAGGACCCUCCCCAAGUACUGAUCUUUCGUAAAAGUUAAAUUAAUUAAAAGACUAGAUUAUAAUUUGACCAAAAAAAAAAGACUAGAUUAUAACAAAUUAAAAAGUCUUUUAAACUUAACAGUACAAUAUACAAUUUUGGCAGAACAAGACUAAUUGACCGGUCUCUCCAAGAACAGGGGCCUUGGUUGAGAAUCAGUCAGAACCGAUCCAAAACGGAUAAAAUUGGUCAAAUUAAAUACUCCAAGCCAUUUAAAUAAAUAUAGGCUUAAUACAUCAGAAGACCCUUGAAAUUGUAAAGGGAAUUAGUUUCAGGACCUGUAAAUUUUUUGCAUCAAAUUGGGUCCCUAAGAAUUUUUUUUAAUUCAAUUAAGGCCAAAUGCUGCCAGACUUCAAUUUUGUCCUAGUCAUCAAUUACACGUGGCUUUUAUGAUUUUUUUAAUUAAAAAAUGAUAAAACUUUAUUUUUUUAAUUCCAACUCAUAUUAAAGCAUUAAAAAAAAUAAAAAACUUAAUAAAAUCCCUAAUCUAAUUCCAAAACUAACUAAAUAAUUACUUAAACUAAAUAAUAACAAAUUCCAAACACAAUCUAUCAACCCCACCAAACCCAAACCCAGAACAGUGGAAGAUGAAGGAGAAAGACCAUUGAAAACCCAAUCCCAUCAACACCACACCAAAUCGUCUCCCCACCGGACCAGAUUUGUCUCUGGAGCAGCGACCUUGCGCGCCGCCGUGCAUAUCCGUGUCGCCUCUUCAUCAUUCGCACCGUUGAUCUCCUUCCCUACCGCAUCAUCACCAUCAACGAUGCAUCCUCCAUCUGCCUCUCCUCUCCACCACGCUCCCUCCUCUCAACCAGAUCUGACCAGAUCUUCCAUCUGCCUCUAUGUUGCAUAGAGUAUGAGCAACUUACGUUUUUGUGGAACCCUUUGAUGUAUUAAGCCAUAAAUAUAUGUGAACACAUAUCUACGAGUACCUAAAGAUACUUAUGAAUAUUAUGAAAUUCAUUUAAAACAUAGUGAGUAGAUAUCCAUACAGGAGUUACCGGAACACCAACGGAGUGAUGCGGUUAGUUCGAUGGUAUAUGAAGCCAAUGCAAGGGUGAGGGAUCCGGUGUAUGGAUGCGUGGGAACCAUUUCCUCUUUGCAGCAACAAGUUGAUGUGCUUCAAAC